rnacentral:tRNA from 1 species
AGAAAAUAGUUUAUUAAAAUAUUAAUUUUGGAGAUUAAAGAUAAGUGAUUGUACUUUUUUCUGAU